rnacentral:sRNA from 1 species
UCCCAUGAUGACGUGGCCAAAGCAUGUGC